CUGCUUAUAAAAAGUAAUUAGAAGCGGUUCAAACCGUUUCCCUAUCUUUAAAAAAAAAACCGGGAUUUAAACUCCCUCAUUUCCCUCUUCCAUUUCUCACAAUUGCGCUCCCUGACUACCUCCUUCGCUUCCUCUUUCACUCUCACACCGUCACUCCACCACAACCACCAUUGCUGUUAGCUUCACUUAACCCCACCACAACAACUACACCAUUGCCUUAGCUUCACUUAGGUGUUGUUAGAGGAUUGAGAUUAAAGGGUGAGGUACUCCUUAAUACAAAUCAUCGAGGCUCAAGUGAAAUGAGGAGUUGCUGAUAUUGUUAACACAGGAGGUCGUCAACGUGGUUCCAUCACAACAGCUUUGUUUUUGAAGCAGAAAAUCGAAGGUUGUUUCGAGCUAUUCCGUCAACAGCAAGACGCACAAAUGACGGUGAACAACACAACCCAAGCUCAGUUAUUUGAGGAACUCCGCAACCUCAUAACCUAGAGGAACCACGACCAAGAACAAGGGCCACUGGGCUGGCUGUGCAGCCUACCUAGGCUGACUGUGCAACUGCUUGGCUUGGCUGUGCAGCCUGCCUGAGCUGCUGUGCUACUGUGCAGCCUGCCUGGGCUGCUGUGCAACUGUCUGGCUUGAUUGUGCAGCCUGCCUGGCUUGGCUGUGCAGCCUGCCUGGGCUUC